GGCGUGCCUGCUGCUCCAGAAGACCCUGUCUGCACGGGAGCUGAGAGUAUGUUUUGAGGAUCCUGAGUGGGAGCAGCUGAUUGGCCAGGUCUUGGCAAAGGUUGCCCAGACCCUGCAGACACUUGGAGAGGCGCAGAGCAAGGGGGAGCACCAGAGGGAGCUGUCCACCUUGGAGCUGCUGAACACUCUCUUCAGGACAGUCAAUCAUGAGAAGCUGUCUGUGGACCUCACCUCUCUCUUGGGCUUGCUGCAGAGCAAGCAGCAGAAGCUACAGCAAAGCCUACAGCAGGGGAA